rnacentral:rRNA from 1 species
UACGUAGGGGGCAAGCGUUGUCCGGAAUUAUUGGGCGUAAAGAGCGUGUAGGCGGUCCGGUAAGUCAGCUGUGAAAGUCAAGGGCUCAACCCUUGAAAGCCGGUUGAUACUGUCGGGCUAGAGUCCGGAAGAGGCGAGUGGAAUUCCCGGUGUAGCGGUGAAAUGCGCAGAUAUCGGGAGGAACACCAAUGGCGAAGGCAGCUCGCUGGGACUGUACUGACGCUGAGACGCGAAAGCGUGGGGAGCAAACAGG